rnacentral:rRNA from 1 species
AUUGAACGCUGGCGGCAGGCCUAACACAUGCAAGUCGAGCGGAUGAAGGGAGCUUGCUCCUGGAUUCAGCGGCGGACGGGUGAGUAAUGCCUAGGAAUCUGCCUGGUAGUUGGGGAUAACGUCCGGAAACGGGCGCUAAUACCGCAUACGUCCUGAGGGAGAAAGUGGGGGAUCUUCGGACCUCACGCUAUCAGAUGAGCCUAGGCCGGAUUAGCUAGUUGGUGGGGUAAAGGCCUACCAAGGCGACGAUCCAUAACUGGUCUGAGAGGAUGAUCAGCCACACUGGAACUGAGACACGGUCCAGACUCCUACGGGAGGCAGCAGUGGGGAAUCUUGGACAAUGGGCGAAAGCCUGAUGCAGCCACGCCGCGUGUGUGAAGAAGGUCUUCGGAUUGUAAAGCACUUUAAGUUGGGAGGAAGGGCAGUAAGUUAAUCCGUGGCUGUCUUGACGUUACCAACAGAAUAAGCACCGGCUAACUUCGUG